UACCCGCAGCACAAGUGGUGGUCAUUAUUAUUGGGCCUAAAGCGUCCGUAGCUGGCUUGUUAGAUGCCUGGGUAAAUCGAUGCGCUCAACGUAUCGAAUUCCGGGUAGACCGGCAAGCUCGAGACCGGGAGAGGUGUAGGCUACUCGAGGGGUAGGGGUAAAAUCCUGUAAUCCUUCGGGAAGGACCAGUGGCGAAGGCGCUACACUAGAACGGCUCUGACAGUGAGGGACGAAGCCCUGGGGCGCAAACCGG
rnacentral:rRNA from 1 species